rnacentral:siRNA from 1 species
GAUAACUAAAAAUGACUCGCCA